GGGGGAUAACUAAUCGAAAGAUUAGCUAAUUCCCGCAUAUCUUCUGAGGAAGAAAAGCAGGGGACCAUUUGGCCUUGCGCUGUUUGAGCGGCCGAUAUCUGAUUAGCUAGUUGUGGGGUAAAGGCCUACCAAGGCGACGAUCAGUAGCGGGUCUGAGAGGAUGAUCCGCCACACUGGGACUGAGACACGGCCCAGACUCCUACGGGAGGCAGCAGUGGGGAAUUUUGGACAAUGGGCGCAAGCCUGAUCCAGCCAUGCCGCGUGUCUGAAGAAAGGGCUUCGGGUUGUAAAGGACUUUUGUCAGGGAAGAAAAGGGCGGGGUUAAUACCCCUUCUGAUGACGGACCGAAGAAUAA
rnacentral:rRNA from 1 species